rnacentral:lncRNA from 1 species
UGUAAACGUAGCUACAGCAGCACAAGUGAAGAUAUAAAGAAAAACACUUGCAGAGCUGCUUCAGAAAGUGAAUGGAGCCUGGAGUGCAGGAAGCUGGUAUUUGUUUCACAUUGAUGCUAAUGGUGUGAGAUCUUUCUGCUGUUUGCUGUCUGGGAAAUAAAGAUAGUACAGCUCAUCGUAAGAGGUAUCUGUUACAAUAAUGGAAAACUGACUGACACAAGAAAUUUUCUGAUCAGACACAUGAAGCAUAUGAGGAAGCAAUCAAGUGAAUAUUUAGGGAAAAGCCAUUUAAGCAGAGGGAAAGCAUCCUGGGAUGUCUAUGCUGGGAUAUUUUGGUGAAUUUGAGAAAAAGUAAGUAGAAAGGAUUUGUGAAACUGGUGCUCAGUGAUUUAUGAGUUGAAUUUAAAAGGUUUCCAGAAAUUAACUCAUACAGGAAUGUUUCUGCCAUAAUAAGAUUUUGGAUUUUAUU